GAAGGUAUAGCUCAAGUGGUAGAGCACAUGCUUAGCAUACACAAGGUCCUGGGUUCAAUCCUCAGCACCUCCU
rnacentral:tRNA from 1 species